AAUCAGUUAUGGUUCACUAGAUCGUAUAUCCUACACGGAUAACUGAGGUAAUUCUUCAGCUAAUACGUGCUACAAGCUCGUUCGCAAGAGCGAGCGCAGUUAUUAGAACAAAACCAAUCCGGCCUUCUGGUCGGUUAAAAUGGUGACUCUGAAUAACCGAAGCGGAGCGUAUGGUCUCGUACCGACGCCAGAUCUUUCAAGUGACUGCUCUAUCAGCUUGUUGUUAGGUUAUGCUCCUAACAAGGCUUCAACGGGUAACGGGGUAUCAGGGUCCGAUACCGGAGAGGGAGCCUGAGAAACGGCUACCACAUCCAAGGAAGGCAGCAGGCGCGCAAAUUACCCACUCCCAGCACGGGGAGGUAGUGACGAAAAAUAACGAUGCGAGGGCAUAUUGCUUCUCGUAAUCGGAAUGGGUACACUUUAAAUCCUUUAACGAGGAUCUAUUGGAGGGCAAGUCUGGUGCCAGCAGCCGCGGUAAUUCCAGCUCCAAUAGCGUAUAUUAAAGUUGCUGCGGUUAAAAAGCUCGUAGUUGAUCGUAGACGUAGGAUGAGUGGUGCGCUUUACGGCGCUACUGCUUGUUCCGACGUCAAAAGCCGGUCAUGUCUUGUAUACUCUUCAUUGGGUGUACUUGGCGGCCGGAGCGUUUACUUUGAAAAAAUUAGAGUGCUCAAAGCAGGCGUAUGGCCUUGCAUAAUGGUGCAUGGAAUAAUGGAAUAGGACCUCGGUUCUAUUUUGUUGGUUAUCGGAGCUCGAGGUAAUGAUUAAGAGGAACAGACGGGGGCAUUCGUAUUGCGGCGUUAGAGGUGAAAUUCUUGGAUCGUCGCAAGACGCACUACUGCGAAAGCAUUUGCCAAGAAUGUUUCAU
rnacentral:rRNA from 1 species